GAUGAACGCUAGCGACAGGCCUAACACAUGCAAGUCGAGGGGCAUCGGGGCGAGGAGCAAUCCUUGCCGCCGGCGACCGGCGCACGGGUGAGUAACGCGUAUGCGACCUGCCCGUUGCAGGGGGAUAAUCGGGAGAAAUCCCGUCUAAUACCGCGUAACGCCGCGGGGCUGCAUGGCCCUGCGGCCAAAGGGAGCGAUUCCGGCAACGGAUGGGCAUGCGUGACAUUAGCUAGUUGGCGGGGCAACGGCCCACCAAGGCGACGAUGUCUAGGGGUUCUGAGAGGAAGGUCCCCCACACUGGUACUGAGACACGGACCAGACUCCUACGGGAGGCAGCAGUGAGGAAUAUUGGUCAAUGGGCGCGAGCCUGAACCAGCCAAGUCGCGUGAGGGAUGACGGCCCUACGGGUUGUAAACCUCUUUUGUCGGGGAGCAAAUUCCGUUACGUGUAACGGAGUCGAGAGUACCCGAAGAAAAAGCAUCGGCUAACUCCGUGCCAGCAGCCGCGGUAAUACGGAGGAUGCGAGCGUUAUCCGGAUUUAUUGGGUUUAAAGGGUGCGUAGGCGGACUGUCAAGUCAGCGGUAAAAUACGGGGGCUCAACCUCCGCCCGCCGUUGAAACUGACGGUCUUGAGUGGGCGAGAAGUAUGCGGAAUGCGUGGUGUAGCGGUGAAAUGCAUAGAUAUCACGCAGAACUCCGAUUGCGAAGGCAGCAUACCGGCGCCCAACUGACGCUGAAGCACGAAAGCGUGGGUAUCGAACAGGAUUAGAUACCCUGGUAGUCCACGCAGUAAACGAUGAAUACUAGCUGUCCGGGGCGAAUGAGCCCUGGGUGGCACAGCGAAAGCGUUAAGUAUUCCACCUGGGGAGUACGCCGGCAACGGUGAAACUCAAAGGAAUUGACGGGGGCCCGCACAAGCGGAGGAACAUGUGGUUUAAUUCGAUGAUACGCGAGGAACCUUACCCGGGCUCAAACGACACAGGAACGUACCUGAAAGGGUUCGGCUCUACGGAGCCUGUGUCGAGGUGCUGCAUGGUUGUCGUCAGCUCGUGCCGUGAGGUGUCGGCUUAAGUGCCAUAACGAGCGCAACCCCCAUCGACAGUUGCUAACAGGUCAGGCUGAGGACUCUGUCGAGACUGCCGGCGCAAGCUGCGAGGAAGGCGGGGAUGACGUCAAAUCAGCACGGCCCUUACGUCCGGGGCGACACACGUGUUACAAUGGCAGGUACAGCGGGAAGCCACCUGGCGACAGGGAGCGGAACCCGAAAGCCUGUCUCAGUUCGGAUUGGAGUCUGCAACCCGACUCCAUGAAGCUGGAUUCGCUAGUAAUCGCGCAUCAGCCACGGCGCGGUGAAUACGUUCCCGGGCCUUGUACACACCGCCCGUCAAGCCAUGGAAGCCGGGGGUGCCUGAAGUGCGCUGCCGCGAGGAGCGCCCUAGGGUAAAACCGGUGACUGGGGCUAAGUCGUAACAAGGUAGCCGUACCGGAAGGUGCGGCUGGAACACCUCCUUUCUGGAGCGUCCGCAGUCAAUGGGGCUGCGAGGUUCCCGACCUUUCUGGUCACGACGAUUUGAGGCUCUUGUGCUUCUUGUCCGUUUACACCAUAACCUGCAUCCCCGUCAGGGGGUCGAGGGGGGAUUAGCUCAGCUGGCUAGAGCACCUGCUUUGCAAGCAGGGGGUCAACGGUUCGAAUCCGUUAUUCUCCACUCAGGAAGAGGACAUUGACAUGCUGGAAGCGAUUCUGAGAAUUCAGAAUCAAGAUACGAGUGAAACAAAUGACGAAAUCAAAGCAUUAGGUAUGCAUAUACGAUGCGACAGAUUGAGUAGGCGAAAAAAAUAGACUCUAAGGAAAGGAGACAAGGGCACAUGAAGGAUGCCUUGGCUCUCGGAGGCGAAGAAGGACGUGAUAAGCUGCGAUAAGCCGCGGGGAGGGGCAAAUGCCCUUUGAUCCGCGGAUCUCCGAAUGGGGCAACCCGCCGGAAGCGAUUCCGGCACCCGGCUCAUGGCCGGGGGCGAACCCGGGGAACUGAAACAUCUCAAUACCCGGAGGAAGAGAAAAUAACAAUGAUUCCGCAAGUAGUGGCGAGCGAACGCGGAGGAGCCCAAACCCGGGCCGUCGAGGCGGCACCGGGGGUUGUAGGACCGCCCGUCAAGGACGCGCGAACGCUAGGGGGACCGGCUGGAAAGCCGGGCCGGAGAGGGUGACAGCCCCGUACCCGAAAGCGUGAACGCGACAAGGGCGGCACCUGAGUAGCGCGGGACACGAGAAAUCCUGCGUGAAUCCGCGAGGACCAUCUCGCAAGGCUAAACACUACCGAGAGACCGAUAGCGAACC
rnacentral:rRNA from 1 species